rnacentral:rRNA from 1 species
UCUGGUGGCGAUGGCAAAGAGGAUACACCUGUUCCCAUCCCGAACACAGAAGUUAAGCUCUUUAGCGCCGAUGGUAGUACAUUGUGCAAGAGUAGGACGCCGCCAGGC